CCAGUGUGGUUAGAGGACAAUGCACAGGGGAAGAUGCAAAAGAGACGCGGUCAGAGAAAGAGGCAAAGGCAAAUCUACAGAAGACUUUAAAGAGUUUGGCUCUCUGCACUCAAGAAUGCUUACGAGGGGUAUCCUAAUGCCAUCCUUUAAUUUUAUUAGAGAAUCCCCAACAUGCCAGGUCACACAACAUGGCCGGACAUAAUUUGGGUUGGAAAAAAGAAUGCAGAGCAAAAUUUCUGCUGUUGGUACAGAUGCUUCGAUCAAAUUGACACUGCCUGCUGGGGUCCCGGGAGAAUACUCAAAGUGAACAGAUGUGCCAUGGUUCCCAAUUUUGGUAGAGAAGUAAAAUCCUUGGCCAGAAUCAUCAAUUUAAAUUAGUAGCCGAGCCAGACUCCUGAAAAUUGUUACUGCACUGUAUAAUGACAGUAAAGCAUUGAAAUCACACCUCUCUCACCUCCUUUACAUCUUUGUUCAAAUGUCAAUUUCUCAAUAAGGUGAACCCUGACAAUUUCAUUUAAAACUACACUUGUUUCUCCAACUAUUCACCCUAUUCUAUGACUCUUCACUGCACUUACUCCCUUUCUGAUACAUUAUACAGUUAACUUACUUGUUGUGUUUC
rnacentral:lncRNA from 1 species